rnacentral:rRNA from 1 species
UACGUAGGGGGCAAGCGUUGUCCGGAUUUAUUGGGCGUAAAGAGCGUGUAGGCGGCCAUGUAGGUCCGUUGUGAAAACUCGAGGCUCAACCUCGAGACGCCGAUGGAAACCAUGUGGCUAGAGUCCGGAAGAGGAGAGUGGAAUUCCUGGUGUAGCGGUGAAAUGCGCAGAUAUCAGGAAGAACACCAAUGGCGAAGGCAGCUCUCUGGUACGUGACUGACGCUGAGACGCGAAAGCGUGGGGAGCAAACAGG